rnacentral:tRNA from 1 species
UCCCUGGUGGCUCAGAGGUUAAAGCGUCUGCCUCCAAUGCAGGAGACCCGGGUUCGGUCCCUGGGUCGGGAA